rnacentral:rRNA from 1 species
GACGUAGGAUGCAAGCGUUGUCCGGAUUUAUUGGGCGUAAAGAGUUCGUAGGUGGUUUGUUAAGUCUGAUGUUAAAGACUGGGGCUCAACCUCGGAAAUGCAUUGGAUACUGGCAGACUUGAGUGUGGUAGAGGCAAGUCGGAAAUUCCAGGUGUAGCGGUGAAAUGCGUAGAUAUCUGGAAGAACACCGGUGGCGCAAGCGGAUUGCUGGGCCAUAACUGACACUGAGGAACGAAAGCUAGGGGAGCAAAUGGG